rnacentral:tRNA from 1 species
GCGGAAAUAGCUUAAUUGGCUAAAGCGUAGCCUUGCCAUGGCUAAGAUUGAGGGUUCGAGUCCCUUUUUCCGCU